rnacentral:rRNA from 1 species
UACGUAGGAUGCAAGCGUUGUCCGGAAUUAUUGGGCGUAAAGAGCGCGCAGGCGGUUUGACAAGUCAGAUGUGAAAGAGGCCGGCUUAACCGGCAAGGGUCAUUUGAAACUGUCAGACUAGAGUACAGCAGAGGAUAGCGGAAUUCCCGGUGUAGCGGUGAAAUGCGCAGAUAUCGGGAAGAACACCCGUGGCGAAGGCGGCUCUCUGGGACGGUACUGACGCUGAGACGCGAAAGCGUGGGGAGCGAACAGG